CGACAGGUUGGCUCUGGGCCACAUCAGAUGAAGACAUGCAGUCACCUCCUGUUUAGUCUUCUGGAUUGAUCCUGGUAAAGCAGCACCGGCCUUCAGGAAGAACAGCCUUCCUGUUCAGGAAAAAUCCACGUUUGCCUCUGUCCCCUCUUUUUGGUUUAUGAAAUCUCGUUUGCCCUCCUCCACAGCACAGCACAGGUGAGGAAAAUAGACCUCUUUGUAAUUUGGGGCCAAACCAUUCAGAACGUAUAAAAUCAGUCAUUAAAAUAGAAAUAAUUCACAUUUCUUGAUUGGUCUAUAGCAGUUUGAAGCAAAUUAGGUUGUCAUGAAGCAGCUGUCUUGGAGGUUUAUGCCAGGGCUCUGAGGCUCCCUCUGUCCCCCUGAGAAUGUAAAGGACUCCUUGAGUACCAGGGCCAGGCUACAUCCGACUUCACUCACUGGAGCCUCUCGGGGGGAAGUACUGGGGAGCACGAAAAAAUGCCAGCCUUAUUGAUGGUAAAGGCAGCACAUAAUAAAUAUUCACUUUCAUCUUCCUUCCUUCCCUCUCUAACUUCCCUAAUAUGAAAGGUAAAAAACGGGGCUAGGGGAAAGGAACUCUCAAAGGAAGAGAGAAACAGUAUAGAUCUUGGAGACUGGAGGUGAAGUGGUGGAGUUUGUGGAGUCUCUGUAGCUCCGUUGGCCUUUUUGGCGGUGUUUGGGUUCUGGGUGCCUUUGAGUGCACCCUUCCCCUCUCUCUGCCUUCUCAUGUCUGUUUGGCUGUGUGGAGGUAGUGAGGUAGUGGUUAGCGCCUGGUGGAAAAGAAGCAGAAGCUGCUGUGAAGCUCAAGGGAAAUCAUUUCUUCCUUUCUGCCAAGACAGAUCAUGAGUGCAGGGAAGGAAGCUGCACCCGAAGGCGCUGCCCACUGGAUGGGGCUAGGCUGUUCCUCUCAACGGGUGAGGAAAGGGAGAGGAGGCCCACUUCAGGCUUCAUAAACAAGGAGUGUCUGAGUUCCUGAGAAUACGAAAGGCACAUGGGAGGAUGGAACCUCAACCGUAGCAAGGUAUUGCAUAUUCUAAAAAAAUCCUUGAUAUCCCCACCUCCCAACUGGGUGUAUUGAUGACUGAA
rnacentral:lncRNA from 1 species